rnacentral:tRNA from 1 species
GUCUUGGUAGCUCAGUGGAUAGAGCAAUCGCCUCCUAAGCGAUAGGUCGCACGUUCGAGUCGUGCCCAGGACG